GCGAAAGAGAGACUCCUUCGUGAUUGGUUGAAUUGUUGCCGACUCUGCCUGUUUCUCCACCCCCAUGUGCAGACUCCUUCGUGAUUGGUUGAAUUGUUGCCGACU
rnacentral:lncRNA from 1 species